rnacentral:lncRNA from 1 species
CGCUGCGCCAUGAGCAAAGUCUGCGGCCCCUCACUCGGCGCGGCUCCGGGAACACUGGGGCGGGGGUGGGUGAUUCAGUCCCCCACCCCCGGGUGUCCUGACUCCCUGGUGGCCCUGGGCUGACAGCUCCACACCUUGGGAGGCCGCACCCCCACCUGCCGCAUUUCCUCGUUCUGAGUCACCCUUGCUCAGAACGCUUGACUUUGGGACUUCCUGUCCGCACUCGCGGCCCCUAACCUGCCCCGGGAGCCCGGGAGUGCGGCUUGGGAAGGAGGGAAAGGAGUGUGUGAGCAGGGAUUGGCCCGAACCUAUCUCCACGCUCUCCCCCGGGACUGGAGGUGAAGGGGGGCGUGGAGAAAAUCUCAGGGAACAGGGGCUUCGACAGGGGGCUCCCGCCCGCCCGAGCCCCCUCCCCAAAAUGCGAGGCCUGCACAGUAUGCCUUCUCCGCAAAACCUCGGCAAGCGGGUUAGUGAAUUCAGGUCACUAAGAAGCUGAGCCCGCGGAAAGCUGCCCAAACACCCCCUUCUCUAGGGGACUCCCCACGCCCCCCGCCGGGACGCGUUCCCGAAGUCGCCGCCUGGACUGCAACCGCGUGGCCUGCGCCGCGUCCUCUUCUCCGCAGCCUCCGAGGCCCGUGCGACCAAGCUGAAACCGCUUAUUCUCCGGAGCCCCUAUGACCCCGGGUGGGGGCCAGGGCUCGCCUCGAUCGCAGCCCGUGCGCCCUCCGGACUCCAGUUCGCCGGGACUGGGCGACACCAGAAGCGGCUAGUGUGAGUGAAACAAACGGGAAAUUUGCUCUGGCCCGCCUGCCCAGCCACCCACGGCUGCCUGUUGGCCAAUCACCAUUUGACCAGUCCAGGAAGAGCAACUGUGGCAGGCCUGAUUUCCUGGGAGGCCCCAGACUCCCUUUGCCUACCUCUUCCUCUCUGACCCCAUCCUCGCUUUGAUGCCCGGGACCUGCUACCCAGAAACAACGUGAGGCUCAGAGAGAAGAAAUGACUAAAAUUACACAGCUGGUACAUGGCAGAGGUGGAACUAAAAAGUUAAGUGUGUCUACCCCAGAGCCGAGUAGACCUGCUCUUUUUUGAACACUUCCUGGACUUUCAUGCCUUUGUCCCAGCUGUGCCCUCUCCCUGGAUGCCCCUUCCAUCUGGGCAGCUCCUACUAGACCUGCCUUGGCAUACAUAACACAGGAGAACGGAUUGCCAAAGGGUAGGAGAGUGCCUGGUCUAUAGUGUGCGCCCAACACAGAUUUGGUGAAUGAAUGAACACUGGGUCCAGCAGACCUGGAUUCUUCCAUGUAACCCACUGUGUGGCCUUGGUGGAGCCAUGCGGGUGCAAUAAUCCUGGUUUCCACCCUUCAGGGCUGCUGCUGGGACUCAGUGAGAUCAUCAUGUAUCUAAUGCCCUUUGCUCAGUGCUGGGCACACAGUCAAUGCGCAUUGAAUCUUAGCUAUUGCUACCUUUACAAUCAAUCAAAAGUCACUUCUGAAGAAUAGACAGGGCUCCCCCAGGCCAAAUAAAUAAUUCCUCCCGGGACAAACCCCAGCUCUCACUCCCUCCUCUUUAGGCAGGGGGCUCCCUGAAGGACAGAGACCCGGUUUUAUUCCAUCUUGCCGUCCCCCAUGGUGCCGGGCAUACAGUGGUGCCCAGUAAACGUGUGUGUUGCACAAACAUGCGGUAACUAGGGCCCCAUCUUUUUCAAAAGAACACACUCCCCAGGUGCAGCCGCAAAGAGAGACUGUUCAGCUGUUCAGGUGAGGUUUUGGGGUGAAACUCGUCUGAAUAAUAGUUUUACUGAACACAGCCUCACCCCCAACAAGGAGGCAAUUUGAGGUGGGGGUGGGGAGACUUAAAUGUGGGCUCCCGGGUUUUAAAGGGGGUAGCGCGGGAGGAAGCCCCCCAAUAAUUGCGGGGCUUCCCCCACCCCCAGAGCUGGAUUAGAGGCUGCGCCACUUCCUUUGGGGCUCGCUCGCGCUUCCUGGGAGCCUUUGAUGUGGGUUCUUGGUAGAUCCUGCCCGCGGGGCCUGGAUGCGGGCGGAGCCUCCGGGCAGGGCGGGGCCUCAGCCUGGGUCCGCACUGGGGAGGCGGCCACCCGGUAGCUUGGGCGGGUUCCGCCCACCUCCCGCCUGUAUUUACAGCCCCCUUCCAACAUCCCCGACUCCCUGAGGGCGCCCCUCAUUCUGCUCGGCCUUGCCUUCCCCAUUCGGCCACAUCCUCCUCUCUCCCAACUCAGCUUCGACCCCCAAAGCCUUUCCCUAACCAUCGGAACCACAGGCUUUUCUCCGGCCUCUGAGUGCCAGUCUUCAACUAGGUGUCUUUUAAAAAAUCAAAAAGCAUCUCAUCCUACGGGAUGUGUGUGAAAAAAUAAAAAUAAAAUAAAGAAAAAGGGGGCCGGGCGCGGGAGCUCACGCCUGU